rnacentral:tRNA from 1 species
GCCGGGCUCGAACCGACGACCUUUGGCUUAUUAGACCAAUGCUCUACCAACUGAGCUA